UUUGAACGUUCGAUCUCAAAUCAGGUAGGACUACCCGCUGAACUUAAGCAUAUCAAUAAGCGGAGGAAAAGAAACUAACAAGGAUUCCCCUAGUAACUGCGAGUGAAGCGGGAAGAGCUCAAAUUUAAAAUCUGGCGUGCCUCCGGUCGUCCGAAUUGUAGUCUCGAGAAGUGUUUUCCGUGCU
rnacentral:rRNA from 1 species